UACAGAGGUGGCAAGCGUUGUUCGGAAUUACUGGGCGUAAAGGGCGCGUAGGCGGUCUUCUAAGUCUUGUGUGAAAUCCCUCGGCUCAACUGAGGAACUGCACGGGAUACUGGAAGACUUGAGUUCGGGAGAGGGAAGCGGAAUUCCGGGUGUAGCGGUGAAAUGCGUAGAUAUCCGGAAGAACACCAAUGGCGAAAGCAGCUCUCUGGGACGGUACUGACGCUGAGACGCGAAAGCGUGGGGAGCGAACGAGG
rnacentral:rRNA from 1 species